UACGUAGGGUGCAAGCGUUAAUCGGAAUUACUGGGCGUAAAGCGUGCGCAGGCGGUUAUGUAAGACAGUUGUGAAAUCCCCGGGCUUAACCUGGGAACUGCAUUUGUGACUGGCGGGCUAGAGUAUGGCAGAGGGGGGUAGAAUUCCACGUGUAGCAGUGAAAUGCGUAGAGAUGUGGAGGAAUACCGAUGGCGAAGGCAGCCCCCUGGGCCAAUACUGACGCUCAUGCACGAAAGCGUGGGGAGCAAACAGG
rnacentral:rRNA from 1 species